GACGUAGGUGGCGAACGUUAUCCGGAAUUAUUGGGCGUAAAGGGUGCGUAGGCGGCAUGAUAAGUUAUUGGCGGCAUAUCGAGCUCAACCUCGUGGAAACUGAUAAUACUGUCUUGCUUGAGUGCAGAAGAGGUUAACGGAACUCCAUGUGGAGCGGUAAAAUGUGUAGAUAUAUGGAAGAACAUCAAUAACGGCGAAGGCAGUUAACUAUUCUGUUACUGACGUUGAGGCACGAAAGCGUGGGGAGCAAAAAGG
rnacentral:rRNA from 1 species